rnacentral:rRNA from 1 species
AUCUACAGCCAUGCUACCCUGAACACGCCCAAUUCCGUCUGUUCUUGGAAGCUAAGCAAGGUUGGGCCUGGUUAGUACUUGGAUGGGAGACCACCUAGGAAGACCAGGUGCUGCAGGUA